rnacentral:rRNA from 1 species
UACGAAGGGGGCUAGCGUUGCUCGGAAUCACUGGGCGUAAAGGGUGCGUAGGCGGGUCUUAAGUCAGGGGUGAAAUCCUGGAGCUCAACUCCAGAACUGCCUUUGAUACUGAAGAUCUUGAGUUCGGGAGAGGUGAGUGGAACUGCGAGUGUAGAGGUGAAAUUCGUAGAUAUUCGCAAGAACACCCAGUGGCGAAGGCGGCUCACUGGCCCGAUACUGACGCUGAGGCACGAAAAGCGU